AUACUUCCCUGGCAGGGGAGAAACUGAUCACGCAGGUGGUUUUCCCAGGGCCAGGCUCACCCAUUGUGCUCCAGAUGUGCUGACCCCUGCGACUUCCCCAAACGUGGGAAACUCACUGCGUGAUUUGUGGUAGUGGGGGACUGUGUUCACGCUCUCCCCUA